rnacentral:rRNA from 1 species
GACGAACGCUGGCGGCGUGCUUAACACAUGCAAGUCGAACGGAAAGGCCCUGCUUUUGUGGGGUGCUCGAGUGGCGAACGGGUGAGUAACACGUGAGUAACCUGCCCUUGACUUUGGGAUAACUUCAGGAAACUGGGGCUAAUACCGGAUAGGAGCUCCUGCUGCAUGGUGGGGGUUGGAAAGUUUCGGCGGUUGGGGAUGGACUCGCGGCUUAUCAGCUUGUUGGUGGGGUAGUGGCUUACCAAGGCUUUGACGGGUAGCCGGCCUGAGAGGGUGACCGGGGAAGGGGGGAAAGAGGGAAGGACAGGAGUACGACGGGAGGCAGCAGUGGGGAGUAGUGUAGAAUGGGGGGAGGUAUGAUGCAGCAACGCGGGGUGAGGGGGGGGGGCGUGGGGGGUGAAAAACGAUUGCACAUGUGACGAAGCGGGAGGGACGGUACUGGGUAAAGAGGAGCCGGCUAGCUACGUG